UGUGUAUCAGUACAUGGCAUAUCAAUAAGCGGAGGAAAAGAAACUAACAAGGAUUCCCUUAGUAACGGCGAGUGAAGCGGGAAGAGCUCAAAUUUGAAAUCUUUAAGGUUCUACCUUGACGAAUUGUAGUUUAAAGAAGUGUUUUCUGUUAGUGGAGUGGCAAAAGUUCUUUGGAAUAGGACAUCAUAGAGGGUGAGAAUCCCGUAUUUGGUCAUUCCUUCUAGCUUUGUGAUACACUUUCAAAGAGUCGGAUUGUUUGGGAAUGCAGUCCAAAAUGGGUGGUAAAUUUCAUCUAAAGCUAUAUAUUGGCGAGAGACCGAUAGCGAACAAGUACCGUGAGGGAAAGAUGAAAAGAACUUUGAAAAGAGAGUUAAACAGUACGUGAAAUUGUCAAAAGGGAAGCGUUUGACACCAGUGUUGUUUUUCCGAAAAUCAAUUAAAAAUGGCGGGAUUUUGUGUUGUAUUGACUUUAUCAGCUUUCUGCACUUUUUUCCUGUCUUUUUUAAUGCACUUUUCGUUUAACAAGUCAACAUCAAUUUCUUUUGUUGUAAAAGGGUCAUUGGAAGGUGGCUUUCUUUUCGGAGAAAGUGUUUAUAGCCUUUGGCCUCUGCAAUCGGAGAGAUUGAGGUCUGCAGCGUAGAUCCUUCGGGGUUAGAUGCAUUUGUGCUAAGUUAUAGCCUUUCAUAGACAACUUGUUGACUAUGAUCAGUCAUGUAGCUUACUCGCUUAUGUCAUUUUACCUACGCUUAGGAUGUUGACAGCAGUAUAGACUGU
rnacentral:rRNA from 1 species